CUUUUUUAUUCUAGAUGGGGCGUCUCGAAAUGUCUGUAGACUUACAGCACUGCAAGUAUGGCGUGCUUUCCAGGCAAUACUCAGUGGGCCCGCUUUCAAAUCCUAUGUAUGGGUUACAGCAAGGUGUGAUGUGACACAAUGGCUUUCCUCGAAUGUGCGGAGAAGAAUCCCCACAACUGCAUUUAUUGUCCGUCUUAUAUUUGUUUAAUCUGUAUGCCACACCAUUCUCAUCUUUGUCGUCUUUUAAACUUUCCCAAAUCAUUGAUGAAAAUCUGAAUACAAAUUCAGACAAGCCCGACUUCGAUCUUCAACUAUUAGUUCACCAAAUCGAUACUCUUCUUGUUGAUUACAACAAUCAGCUGAGAAAAAGAAAUCCCAAUAGGGAGAAAUUGGCUUCUGUGCAAGCUAAUCUAGCCUCUGCAUCGGACGCAUCUAAUUUGAGAGAACAAGCAUCAUUUUUUUUUCAAACUAAUCGAUACCCAGACGGAAUGCUCCGUAGAUCAACACCAGACAAGCAUAGCAGUGUUGAAUGGUAUUGGAAAUAUUCACUAGGCUGCAGUAAGGUUUUUAAUAGUGGCCGCAGAUGGAAGGAUUUGAAAGGGUGUACAAAGCCUCAAUGGAUGGCCGAUGGACAAGAUCUUCAACAACAUAGCAGGGUUAUAUAUUAUAUGUGUAUGAUUUUUCAUUUACAAAUAAACACCUCUGCUUUGGAAGGCAUUCAAAGCAAUCUUGUAGCUAGUCUCCAACCUCGUCCGAUCCUGCACCACGAUGCAGUUGGAAUAAAAGAGAAAUUGGAGAAGUCAUUCAACAGCUCGAUUGGAAGGAUGAUACCACAACAGCAGCAGUGAUUGUAAAUGGAAUUGGGGGAUCUGGGAAGAUUACAUUGGGGGAUGCAGUUUAUCCCUCUUUCAAAUACAAAUUUUACGGGUGGAAACAUUCUAAAAUUACUAUCAUUCAAAACCCGGAAAAAAAUCUCAAAGUUGAAGAUCUCCAAUCCUUGAUUUUGCAGGAUAUGGCUGCCAUCAAACAAAGUGGAAGAGAUUUUGAAAAUGGAUGCUAGAGUCUGAAAGACAUUGUAGAAAAAGAAUCCAUUUUCAUAUAUAUGGAUGACUCUUCGUUUCUAAAUCCGUUGAAAAAGCUUCUACCUAAGGAUGUCACAAGUGCAAAGAAACUCCAGUGGUUUUUAACAGCCAGAGAAACAAAAGUCUCUGGAAUAGUUGAAAAUUGUGGAAUUGAACCUUGUAGACUAUAUCACAUGGAGUGUGUUUCUAUUGAUGCAGCCCUUAAAGUCUUAUGCAGAAAAAUUAAUAGAAAAAGAUAAAAGGAUUCCAUAGUGCUGGAAAAGCAUCAGGUUAGAGAGAUAGCGGAGGAAUGCAAUUGCUGUCCUCUAAUUUUAGAAGUUAUCAGAGCAUAUCUGGAGAAAUGCAACUGCUGUCCUCUAUUUUUGGAAGUUAUCAAAGCUUAUCUUCAUCAACGGAAGAACAAAGUGGAUGUUUACAAAUGAGUUCUUGGGUGGCUACAAUGUGGGGAUGAUUUUGGUGGCAGUGAGAAGUACAGUUUUGAUGAGCUGAGGGUUUUCCUUUGAGGAGCUUAAACCAACGGGCAAGGAGGCAUUCUUCGACAUAUACUCAUUCUUCUUUUAUUGGGAGUGGGAGAAAGUUUGCAUGGAUUAGAGGAGAUAAAGAAAUGUAAUACCUUUAGGAAGGACCUCUUAUUCAUGAUCUUAUUGCAACAGAGCCAAAUUACAAGUGUAGAAGAUUUUUGUGUGGCCUUGAAAAAUGCAGAGGGUACCAAUGUGUACAUUUUAAUGAAAAUUGAAACAAAACCAAUAGAAAGAGUAUCUAUAUGUACCAUUAAAUUUCUGAAUAGAAAAGAUUAGAAAGAUCAGCUUGUUUCCCAAGUAAAAGGAAUGUGAAUGGCAGAUAUCAAGAACCCUUUCCUUAAAUCAGGAGAAGAGCUAGAUGCCAUGAGCUUGUCUUAACGAGCAUUUUAUGUGGGAAACAUGACUACUGUGAAAGGGAAAUACUGCAAACAAUUUGAUGGGCUAAGGUUUCUUCAUGUGGAGAGUUGCGUAACCAAUUUACCAAUCAAUAUAAUCAACCUUACACAUUUGAGAUACCUGAAGGAUAUCAUUCUACUUUGUCAUGGAAACUGGUCAACGAUUUCGUCAUAAUAAUGAAUUAUGUAAAAAGGCCCAAAAUAGAAUAACAGGGCAGUACAAAAAACAGAACAGCAAGCAACAGACGGAAAAACAGAGCAUGAAACAGGGUAUAUAGCUGAAAGGAUGCUUUAACUUGUAUUUUGUAUAAUCCAAUACGUUAUAUAUUAGUGCUUUGUGCAAUAAACAGCCACAUUAAUACA